CGAACGGGUGAGUAACGCGUGAGGAACCUGCCUCAAAGAGGGGGACAACAGUUGGAAACGACUGCUAAUACCGCAUAAGCCCACGGUGCCGCAUGGCACAGAGGGAAAAGGAGCAAUCCGCUUUGAGAUGGCCUCGCGUCCGAUUAGCUAGUUGGUGAGGUAACGGCCCACCAAGGCAACGAUCGGUAGCCGGACUGAGAGGUUGAACGGCCACAUUGGGACUGAGACACGGCCCAG
rnacentral:rRNA from 1 species